rnacentral:rRNA from 1 species
AGACCCGAAACCCGGUGAUCUAGCCAUGGGCAGGUUGAAGGUUGGGUAACACUAACUGGAGGACCGAACCGACUAAUGUUGAAAAAUUAGCGGAUGACCUGUGGCUGGGGGUGAAAGGCCAAUCAAACCGGGAGAUAGCUGGUUCUCCCCGAAAGCUAUUUAGGUAGCGCCUCGUGAAUUCAUCUCCGGGGGUAGAGCACUGUUUCGGCUAGGGGGCCAUCCCGGCUUACCAACCCGAUGCAAACUGCGAAUACCGGAGAAUGUUAUCACGGGAGACACACGGCGGGUGCUAACGUCCGUCGUGAAGAGGGAAACAACCCAGACCGCCAGCUAAGGUCCCAAAGUCAUGGUUAAGUGGGAAACGAUGUGGGAAGGCCCAGACAGCCAGGAUGUUGGCUUAGAAGCAGCCAUCAUUUAAAGAAAGCGUAAUAGCUCACUGGUCGAGUCGGCCUGCGCGGAAGAUGUAACGGGGCUAAACCAUGCACCGAAGCUGCGGCAGCGAACGUAUCACUUAAAGCGAUUCAGCGGGUUACGAUUGACGGAGCGAAGCGACGUCAAAGCGUAUACAAAGUCGAGUCGGUUUAAGGAUACGUUCGUUGGGUAGGGGAGCGUUCUGUAAGCCUGUGAAGGUGGCCUGUGAGGGUUGCUGGAGGUAUCAGAAGUGCGAAUGCUGACAUAAGUAACGAUAAAGCGGGUGAAAAGCCCGCUCGCCGGAAGACCAAGGGUUCCUGUCCAACGUUAAUCGGGGCAGGGUGAGUCGACCCCUAAGGCGAGGCCGAAAGGCGUAGUCGAUGGGAAACGGGUUAAUAUUCCCGUACUUGGUGUUACUGCGAAGGGGGGACGGAGAAGGCUAUGUUGGCCGGGCGACGGUUGUCCCGGUUUAAGCGUGUAGGUGUGUGUUCCAGGUAAAUCCGGUUCACUUUAACACUGAGGCGUGAUGACGAGGCACUACGGUGCUGAAGUAACAAAUGCCCUGCUUCCAGGAAAAGCCUCUAAGCAUCAGGUAACAUCAAAUCGUACCCCAAACCGACACAGGUGGUCAGGUAGAGAAUACCAAGGCGCUUGAGAGAACUCGGGUGAAGGAACUAGGCAAAAUGGUGCCGUAACUUCGGGAGAAGGCACGCUGACAC